CGUUUGCCAUUUCUAGCACGCACUUCGCACCCUCGCAGCGAGAGACUAGCGGCCAUCAGGGAGCCAAAAAAAAAAAAAAAAAAAAACAAAAACAAAAAAAGCAAAAAUGGAAGAACUGAGGAAGCUAGAGCAAGUACAGAGGAUGCUUCAGUUCAUGGAGCUUCGUGGCGUUGCUAUCCCAUCCAAUGGCGACUCUAAUCGCUUCCUCGCCAAUCUCAUCCUUCUCUUGAUACAACCGUGCGGAGAGCUUGACUUGGACAAGAAGCGCAGUUUGGUCUCUGAACAUAUGUCAAAGAUUUCAACUGCUUUUCUUGAUGAUGCAUCGAUCUGGCUUAGUCGGGAAGGCAUAACAGAAGUUACAGAAGAAGUGAAAGACAAGGACAAUCGUUGUUGUAUGCCAGCUCGUUGCGCUUCUUUAGGCCCUUGUCAAAAUCUUGGCGAUAAUUCUUUGCAGCUUGAUUAUGACAGUCGGUUGCAUGCUGGAUCAUUGGAAACUGAUUUUGAAGACAUGGCUUUGGUUGGGCUGGAUGCGAUGCAGCGAGCAAAUUCUACUCUCGAGGAUUUUUGCAGAUCCUAUUUUAUGUUUCACGAAAUGGAGGUGAACAGGCUGCCGUCAUUAUUCAAGUAUUUACCUGUGCUUUCAUUCACAGAAAGUUUUAUUUAUCAGCUGGAUAGUUUGAAUGAGAAGAUACUGCGUCAACCAACCAGUGGAGUCACUGUUUCUGAAAGAGGACACAAGCCUAGAAAUGAGAGGUUGAUUACUAAGUUCACGGAUCCAUUUAAAAGCAAUCCAUUCUGGCCACUCGUGGGUCUACUUGAAUAUCAUGGUCUUUUAACAGAGAGGAUUAGAGAAGAAUUUAGGUGUGGAGAAGAAUAUUGGGCGCUAGAAAGAAAGCUCUGUUGUGCACUCAUGAGCAAAGAGGAGAUAUCUGUUGAAGAUGUGAUGAGGGCAAUUCAUUUAAAGUCCUUUGAUUAUCGGGUUCUAAAUCUUCUACUAUAUCAUUUGAGAGGAGAAAAGGUCAAUGAUUUGCAUAUGGAAUUUCUGUCUGUCUCAGAAUUCCUUGUGGAAGUGUCCGAUGAUCUGUUUGACUAUGAGGAUGAUGUAAUAGAGAAUAGCUUUAAUGUUUUGCGCAUGUUUGUCAGAAUAUAUGGAGCUUCAAAGGCCCCAGUUAUGUUGGUGAGUAGGCCUGGCAGUUCAUGUAGGCAAAAUACAUUACUGAGGCUGAGCAGAAGUAUGACUGUUUACUGAAAACCUUGGAUCCCCAACUAUCCUCGAAUUACCAGAAAAGAUGCGAAGAAGCCACCAAAGAAGGUGGAAAGAUAUCUGGACAUCGACUUGGAGCGUGGAGCAUACCGCCUGUGAUCGUGGAUGAGGAAUUAUAUCGAUCCAACUUUGCAAAAUUCUAAAUGAACGAAGGUACUGGGUUUUACAUUAGCCGAAUGAAGUGGGUUGAAAUUUAUAGACUUUUAUAAUAUGAUUGAUGCAGCGUACUUUUUAAAAUCUUCUGUAUUCAUAGUUUAUUCUCUCUUAUUUUUACUGCGUCUGAGGUUACAGGUAUGCCUUGUACAUUCAAUUGCAAACAUGAAGUACAUCAACCAUGAUUUCAUGUUAUUGUUAAAUGAAAAUUAUUCCUAUAAAGCCA